CAGAGGACUUUGCAUUCAGAAGGGAAGAUAAAGGUCCUGGCAAGUCAUGGGACUUUCUCUUUUCUCACUGCCUGGCAGCAUGUGGGUGUGCUCCCCACCUUCAAUUCAGAGUUAAUAGGAAAGACAUCCAUUAAGGUCUUUCAGAUGAUGAACCUUUCUUCCAUAUACUGAGACCUUACUUCAGUUUCGGUACCCAAGACAGCAACUGCUUUUGGCCAUUUGGCCUGGCGAGACUUGGUCAAAUCACAAUGGAAGGAGAUGUAUAACUGUAUCAGGGGUGCCUCCCUUCUAAGCCAGAUGGAGAUCUCAGCAGGGUGUUUAGCUGGAUGAGAAAACAUCCCCACUAAGCACGCAAAGAAGGUAUUGCUGACAAUGUCUGGUUCCCAGGAUCCUAAGUGCUGAUGCUGAAAGAACAGUUCAGUACCAGAUUUGGAGCCAUAAGGUGAAAAUUGUGGUCACCCACUUCCCUCUGCUCUCUGAGCACCUUCCAACUCACUCUUCUGAGCACAGCAUGAGUGACCUGCAUCUCUCCUCCUAGUUCACAAGCCCUGAAAGUUUUGACCUUACUACUGUCUGAUCAGAGUUCCACUGCAAAAGACUCAAGAGCAGUCCACUCAAAUUUUGCAGAAAACCUGGCCCUCGAUACUUCUCCUUUGAGACUGAUUGCUGAUUCUUAUGAUUGGAUUUGAAUCUAUGUUCCUCAGAUAUGCUCCUCUUAACAUUUAUAAACAGGAAAAAUGAAUGUACAGAAUCACCACAGCCUUGCAACAGUCCACAAUGGAUUACAAACAAGUUUUAUGGCAAAAUGCAGGCACUGUCAUCCCUGAUAUCUUUUUUACCUGGAAGGCUGAAAAGCAUUUUUACAGAAUGUGGUCCUUACAAUGGUCAAAGGUGAAUAUCUUGUAAAACACACUUUUUUUUUUUAACUGAACAAUUCAAUUCUUUGUUUAAACUCACUUAUAUACCUGCCUUUCAGUAUAACUACUUUAUUUCCCUUCUGCACGGAGAUUUGUAAGGUGCUCCUCAGCUUUCAAGAGGGAUGUAUUGCUGCUGUUAGUUCUAUGUCUGCCUAUCUACCAUGUGUCUGCAGGGCAUCUUUGUUUUCUGGGGAGAGCUGCCUCACUUGUCCCGUACUAAGCUGAACCAAUCAUUUUGGACAAUCCCACUGCUGAAAGUUUUGAACCACUUCAAUUACUAUGGCUUUGAUAUCUAUCUUUGACUGGGAAGAUAAUAGAAAUGCAAGAGAAAAGCAGCAGUUAACCACCACUGUAUCAUUAGCAACUCUGAGAAACUUUCCAGAACUUUUACCAGAUCUUCAACAUUUGUGAACUAUUGCUCUCAUGGUCAUGGAGUACCUUCAUGUGCCUAUUCUUGUCCAUUUUUUCGCUAUUAAUUUUCUGUAUUUUUCCAUUCUACUCCACUAAGUGACACUGCUCAGCAAAAAGCUCUGGUUGGUAAGGAAGUUGUGCAUGUCUUAUGGUGCACUUUUUUUCAGCAAUCCCUUCCCUAGACUUAGCAGCUGUCAAUGAUAUCGAGAUUUGGAAGUUUCCUGCACAUAUAGGUAUGACAUAAAAGAUAUCCUGUGAAGGGAACAAAAUAAGAAAGAAAGCUGAAUUGCUAUUUUCAGAUGAGAUUCUGGUUGCAAGCACAUAUGCAGUCCAUACAGAAAAUUACUGUUCCAACCCAGGAACAAGAAAAAUAGUGCAAAUGAUGCCUCUUUUAAAAGCAGCUAAAGGUUGAGAAGGCAAUCAUUAAGCAUUGAGAAUUAGAAAUACUCUGCAGAUAUGCUGUAUUCAAGACAGAAUCAUUUUUAGGUUCUAUUUAAAAAAAAUAAAAGCAGAGAGAAGCAAGUCAGAACUGCUGAGAGUUACUUUGGCUUUCCUUUUAGAAAAAUGAAAAGUAAAUGUGUGAAAUUAUAAUAGCACACUAUACUAUAAAAAACAAAUAAACUGAUUUCAGCUCAUCAUCUGCUGAAGCACUUGGUAAAAUAUCUGAAGAGAUGUCAAAAAUUCUGUGAGACUGAAGUGAAAGUGAGUGCCUCAUUGAUCUUCAUGCGUGGGAGAGACCAGUAACAUUUGACACAGAGAGAAAAAUUAUAGUGCUCCAUUCUGGAAAUGUUUCUCCUAUGGUGAAAGUGUUGACAUUCUACAGAGAAUAGCUAAAGUUUAUAUUUAUGCAGUAGAAAGAAUGGGUCCCAAAUUGCAAAUCUCUCUCUCUCUCUCUUUUUUUUUUUUUUUUUUUUCCAUCUUAGCUAUCAUUUGUGGGAGCGCUGAUUUUAUAUUUUUAUUUCCUGGCUGAUUUUGAUAUCCCAGAUCAAAUGUCUCAACUCUUUAUAGGAUAGAAAGGAAAAUAUGAAGGAUCAAUUUCUGCUAUUUCAGCAACGUUUAAGUAAGAACAGGAUGAACAAGAAAAGAACAAGAACAAAAUUCCAUCCUGGAGAUGUUUUUGCUUAGGGAAAUUCGAAUCUAUCCGGCUUUAAAUUUUAGUUAUAAUUAAAGUACCCUGUCUUUCCCUUCUUCAAGUUCUAGAGAGAAAUCUGUGUCACUACCAAGUCUCUUUGCUGGUGAAAUCUCCAGCAGCUGUUCUGCAGGGACAUUACUUCAUAGUAUUCUAUAAAGUUAUCCUUACAUUUGAAUUUCUUCCAGUUAUUAUGUAUUGUCAUUCUUCUUUGCUUAUUGUUUUCACACUGCAGUAAUGGAAAGAGCUGUCAUAGAAGAACUGUAGGAAACUAAUUGGGAAUUACUCAGAAUGUGAUUAAUUAACUGUAAUUGACUUUGUGACAUUUUUCAAAAGAACAAAUUCUUUCCUACAUAACUAAAGUUGCUGGAUUUAAUUUUAUCAGAGUCACUUUCUUCUGAACAUAGAUGUUUCAAUUUCCUGUUUUAUCUAGCACACAGUCACCAUAAACUAUCUAUAAUCUCUUCGCCACAUUCACUGCUAUGUUAUAUUAAUUAAAUGCUGGUAGAAGUCAGUGAAAUAAAGAGAAAAAAAUCUUAUGACUUGAACAUGCAAAAUUGUAAUUAAAUCCUAUAAUAUAUUCACCAUACAUUUUGAUUCUAAGGCUUGCAAAAUUGUGUAAUGUAAAUUGAGAAAAUAAUAUAAUUUGACAUUAUUUUAUGGGUUUUAAAUAUAAAGAAGUAUAAUAAAAUAUAGAAGAAUCUUAAAUUCUCUGCUUAUAUUUAAUGGGUUUAUAUAUGUGAAAAACAUAGAAGAGACCAACCAACAAACGCUAUUCACAAUGCGUAUCCUUAAAAAUUAGCUUAAAUUGUGUGAUCAUUGUUUUCUUGUGGUUAAUUCUGUGCCUGUCUGAACAUCUAUCAGGGAGAGUAGAUGCUGUUAGCUUAAAUUGGAUGAAAAACAAUGCAUUCAAGCUAUUGGAAAAAAUAAAAAGGAUAGGACAAGACAUCUUUCUUCCAGUAAAGUUUUUCAGUGUAACAGGUGAGUUCUUCCUGUGAUUAUACAUUAUUGUCACAUAACAAUUAGAGUUACAUAAAUAAAUACUUAUUUGGUCUCCAGCUGGUUUAGUACUGUUUACCUUAUGGUUGGUCUACUUUCAUCAAAAA
ensembl:lncRNA